GACGAACGCUGGCGGCGUGCCUAAUGCAUGCAAGUCGAGCGGGCUACGAUCUUCGGAUUGUAGCUUAGCGGCGAACGGGUGAGUAACACGUAGGUAAUCUACUCUUCAGAGGAGGACAACCUCAGGAAACUGAGGCUAAACCUUCAUACGUUCACUGGUAGGGAUACUGGUGAAGAAAGAGUUACCUUAAAGGUAGCUGCUGAAGGAUGAGCCUGCGGCCCAUCAGGUAGUUGGUGAGGUAACGGCUCACCAAGCCGAAGACGGGUAACCGGUCUGAGAGGAUGUCCGGUCACACUGGGACUGAGACACGGCCCAGACUCCUACGGGAGGCAGCAGCAGGGAAUCUUGGGCAAUGGGCGAAAGCCUGACCCAGCGACGCCGCGUGGAGGAAGAAGUCCUUCGGGGCGUAAACUCCUGGACUGGGGGACGAGGAAGGACGGUACCCCAGUAGAAAGGGACGGCUAACUACGUG
rnacentral:rRNA from 1 species